rnacentral:tRNA from 1 species
GCGAGCGUGGCGGAACUGGUAGACGCGCUAGACUUAGGAUCUAGUGCCGCAAGGCGUGGGAGUUCGAGUCUCCCCGCUCGCA